UGUGAAAGGGAUGCUGUUUCCCAAGUAAGCAGCAUGGGUUUUGCAGCUUGCGUUCUGCACCUCUGAAGCAAAGCAAGCUUGACGUGCUGUCAAGGAACUGCCCUGUGAAAUUCAAAUUUAUAGUCGUUGUUCGAAACCACUCAAAGGAGCGGGGCUUGCGUGGAUAGCCUGAUGUCAUCGUGCACGACUGGAAGCAAGCUGUGCUGCCCUAAGGUUCCUGAAGUAAGUGGGAUGAGUUAAUCUGACUGUGCCUGGGAAGACAGCUGUGAACGCUGUGCUCUACUCAUUGCUUCCAUGAGGAUCUGCCCGAGUACAGCAAAACCUUCGCUGCUGGCUGAGAUACAGGUGUGAGAAGGGGCAGAAAGCUGUGGAGCUCUCUGUAGGAGUGCCAGAAGGUAAGGGGGCAAUAUGAGAAAAUAGGGAGUAGCAGGACUCUUGCAGGAAAAAUGUUUGUGCUUGAAUAUGAUGUUGUCAUCCAAGGCUACGUUCCAUGGGAAACAAAUGGGUUUUAACUGUUAUUAAAAUAAUUACUCAAGUACAUGGAGUUUCUGGUACGAGAUGGCAUAUGGGAAUGUGCUGAACCAUAUUAAUCAAAACUGUUGGAAGGCUAUUGAGGGGUUAUGAAAGGAUAUAUUGAUGAGAUCCUGAACAGUGGGAUUGUUCUGCGAGAGCUGACAGAGUAGUCUGUGCUCAAACUGAUUCUUUGAAGCAAAAUCAAAUAUUUCUGUGUGAAGCCUUUAAUUUGUGGACCAGGCCUAACGGGGAUAUAGACAAUACCGGCUUUUUUAGUGGGUAAAUACGUGUCAGGAAGUGACAAAUAUUGUGUACAGUUGACCUGCAGCUGGGUUCACUUGGGGCUGUAGCAGAUGUGCAGUGGCAGACAGAAAUCGGGCAACUGGUGCUAUUACCACCCUCAGCUGUCACCCUCCCUGGCCCUCGGAUAGGACUUGGCCUUCCGUCAGGAGGGGUGUUGGACUCGAGCAGUUCUUCAGUCACCACAGUUUUCGGUUUGAUACAGUGAACUGAAAGUGCUUUAAUAUGCUGGGCUGACACGAUUGAUUCAGAGAGCAGAUCGGAUGUCCCUGUCCCACGAAGGACCACGUUCCCUUGGUUGUG